GGGUAGGUAGGCUCACCUAGGCGACGAUCCCUAGCUGGUCUGAGAGGAUGACCAGCCACACUGGAACUGAGACACGGUCCAGACUCCUACGGGAGGCAGCAUG
rnacentral:rRNA from 1 species